rnacentral:misc_RNA from 1 species
AAAGCAAGCGUGAAAAGCCCUGAGGAGGUGUUGUUUUUGGUGUACGAAGACCUCAAGAAGGACACUGUUUUCAAUGUUAAAAAGCUCGCUGAGUUCAUGGGCUAUCCCUUUACCCCAGAGGAAGAGAGAAGAGGGGUAGUGCAACAUAUCGUAGAUUUGUGUAGUUUCGAUAGUUUGAGGAACUUGAAGGCGAACAAAAGCGGCGUGUAUAGCCCAGAUUCCCCAUUUACCGUUCAAAACACUG